UACGAAGGGGGCUAGCGUUGCUCGGAAUCACUGGGCGUAAAGCGCACGUAGGCGGCUUUCUAAGUCAGGGGUGAAAUCCUGUAGCUCAACUCCAGAACUGCCUUUGAUACUGGAGAGCUUGAGUCCGGGAGAGGUGAGUGGAACUCCGAGUGUAGAGGUGAAAUUCGUAGAUAUUCGGAAGAACACCAGUGGCGAAGGCGGCUCACUGGCCCGGUACUGACGCUGAUGUGCGAAAGCGUGGGGAGCAAACAGG
rnacentral:rRNA from 1 species